rnacentral:tRNA from 1 species
CGGAAAGAGUAGGAAUCGAACCAACAAUCCCAGAGGGAACCAACCUUCCAAAUUGGCGCAAUAACCAUUCUGCCAUCUUUCC